rnacentral:lncRNA from 7 species
GGAAAGUAUGCAUAACAAAAUAUUAUCACAGCAGCCCUUUGAGUUAGGGAAACAAUUUAAUCAUGAAGAAGAAAUGGAGGAGAGAAGUCAAAUGUCUUUUGAAGAGCUGUACUGGCAGUAUACAUGAGGACAUAGACUGACGACCAAGCCUUUCUUCUCAAUGCAUAGCUUGUUUCUGGUCCAUUUUGAAACUGGGGACAUUUGGAAAUGUUCAGAACCAUUUUUCACUGUGUACCAUCACACCCAAACUCCUGUUCACCUCAGAGUCUUGUUGCUGCCUUUGCUCUCCCUCAGAGACCAUUGCUCUGUGCCUGAUUUCUCCACAGAGGUGGCAUUUUUAUCAGCUCAUGGUAUUUUUCCUGGGAUUGAAGAAGUCAAGCGUUUUCUGUGGCUAUGUAGUCUUGGCAUUUUGUUUUUCUUGGUUCAACAGUACUAUGUGCAGGAAAGCCUGCAUUCUUUAAUAUUGGGAGCCAGGAAAAGACUUAAGAAUGAAUGUGAAGGAUGUACAGCAUAAUCAAUGCCCAAGGGAAAGCCAAGAGAACAGCUGGAGCCUUGCUCAGAGUGGGAGAGCUCCAUUCUGUGAAAGUCAUGUUGAAGAGAGAAGAACAUGGAAGCCAGCUCACAAAAGAGGUGGGAGGGUCUGUGAGUCAGGCUUUGCAAGCCUGGGCUCUCUGCUUGUGUGAAGCAGAGCCUCGUGUCCAGCUCACAGGGUUCAGGAGGCCCUGCCUUCCAGAGGACAUUUUUUUACAUGGCUGUUCUAAAUGGUAGAUGAGAUAAAUGACUAUAGCUACAAGUUUUGUUUUAUUUCUAUGGGACUUGGCAGUAGAAUAGGAAAUCUGUACCAUAAAUUAAAAACAAAACCAAAAGACAAUCAACAGGAAAAAAAAUUUGACCUUUCUUUGAGUGCUGUUUAGGCUUCCAAAAUUGCAUCAGCCCAAGUUUGUGGCUUAUUAUGUGGGCUCCUCUUGAUAACUUCUGAAACUUCAUCCAAAUGACCUCUUCAGAUCCUGGGUGGAGUAACAGUAAUAUGAUGUAACAGACCUGAGGUCAGCGCAUCUCCUCCCAGUGUGUGGUCUGUGAAUAAUAUCUGGGCCUGUGGGUCCUAGAAGCAGUGAUCUCUUUGUGAAAGAAU